GCAAAAGAGCCUGUUAGUUUGGUCUCUUGAAUAUUAGAGAAAAAGAUGAAAUAGAUAUAAAGGAAUUUCUCAUUAGGAAACUGAGACUAGAGAUUGAGGGUUGAUUUGUCUUUGCUAGCUUUUCUUUUCUUUCUUUUUUUUCCCCUCCCUUGGACUUCAAAAGGACUAAUAGCUUUGGUAUUAACAGGGAAGAAAUUUUGUUUCAUAUUAAACUAUCACAUACUUAUCUCUUUAGAAGGUGAGGGACAACGUAAGUAAUAAUACUGUUACCUUACAUUUGUGCUGUUUUACAAGUUUUAUAGUGCCUUAACAUGAAUUACCCUAUUUGACAUGCAAAGAAGCCUUAUAAGACAGGCAGGAUGUGUAUUAUCUCCACUCUGUAGCAUAUAUAGACUCUGAACAGUUAGGUAGCUUUCCCAAGGUUAGGAUCAGAACCAGGAGUCUCGACUUCUGGUCCAUUUUUUUCUAUAUAAAUUCUUGCUUUUCUUUUUUAACCUUCAUGUGUUUCCUUUUAUUUUAGAAGAGCUGAUUUACUUUGCCCUCUUCUUUCUUCACUUUUAAUUCUUGUGGUUUUAUGCUGCCUUGUGAUAGGGUACUUGUUAGUUAUUUCCCUGAGAGAGAUAGUAUUUCAAAUAUCUUGUCAUGUAUAAUGACAAUUAUAGCCCAAUAAUUUUGUGUUUUCAUCUUCUUCCAGCAUUUUUGUUUGUUUAGAGGUUUAUUACGACCUUAGUGAUGAAAAUUAAGUGCAACGUUGGAGCAUUUAUUUUCCCCGCCUCUCCCCAGUCAAUUAGUAUUUUUAAAGGUGAUUCUUAUUUUUUUCCUUAAGUGAUCUGAUGGAAAUAGGCUACACUUUGUUCUAAUAAGGAGCCUAACAGAUUGCGAGGUGCCUUGGUGGCCCCUAGUGAUUGUGUGUGUGUGUGUGUGUGUGAGUAUAAGACCAUAAUGCUCAGGUCUGUUUUGUUGCCCUAUCAUUCAGGACAAAAAUGGCCUUUUCCUCUGAGAAAACUGUCCCCUUCCAUGCCAAAGUCCAGCCUAAGGAAUUACUUCCACUCUCUUAAUUAAAAUACUGUGAUGGUGACCACGUAUAUUGUAUUAGUGUAUCAAUAAAGACUAGUUGACAAAGUCAAAAUUAAAUGAUUUUCUAAUUUGUAAGUUCACGGAAUCCCUAUAUUGGCCUCUGGCAUAAGUUUCUUGAGUCUGGGCUCUGCACUCUUAGUGCCACUGCAAAUGAACACCUAGUGGGCCCCUUUUCUCCCUUCCCCCAUCUCCAUUUUUUAAUUCUAUUUGUAUUCCUAUUAAUUCUAGCUGGGUUUUAUACAGUUUAGUGGUCUUCUUGGGCAUUAUAUUCUCAUUAUGAAUUGGAUAUAGUAGUAUUUUAAAAAUACUAAAGUGGCCCCUUUCUUCACAAAAGGCCAAAAAAAAAAAAAAGAAAACUUUAGUAAAAAGUCUUUGUGCUUCUUAUUUAGGGUUUAGGUUUUUGUCAGAUAAGGAAUUUCAAAACCUCAGAAGUAAACACUUAGAAAGCACAGAUCAGUAUGACAGCAAGUUUACUUUACUUCCAGUGCUUUAAACAUCUCUAGUGUUUAUAUUUCAGAAAAAGGCUUUCAUCCUUACUACUUUUUAAAAGUAAUUCUUGAAUACUGAAUUGAAUAUUGAACCAAUUUAGUGUGAAUACUGAAGCCCGUAUCAGUUGCCAAGUCUCUCAUUCAUAGUCUUAAUAUUGAUGAUAUAAUUAAAUGAUAGAUAACUACUCAUUAUCAACCUUGUAAAUAGUUCUUCUUCCAGAUGAAGUAGCAACAUAGAUUAAAUAACUUUUUCCAAACUAUAUAAAAAAUAUCAGAGCCAGAGUUCAAAUUCUAAACAAUGACUCCAAAGUGCCAGGAGUGUACAUACUUGCCCCAAGAGCCCCUGAAAGCUUAGAUCCAGACAAAAGCUGCAAGAAGGGGAUAUGCUGCCUUCAGGAACCACUUCAUUCACUCAGACGCAAAUGUCCUUGAAUUGGCAGUGACUGAGUAGAAAAAAAGGAACAAUAAUAGAUUAGGGAAAGUAAGUGAGGUACUGGGUAUUUAGGGUUAUAAAGGAAAAGGCAUGUUCUGGCAAUAUUCAACUCGAGCAAAACUAAUCCAGUUGAAGAAAUAAGACAUGUUUAUCUCUUUGUUUUGUUUUGUUUUUUUGUUAAGACAUUUUUGUCUGGUAGAAGCACUGCUUAGAUGAUUUCAGCCCAGUGGUUGCCAGUGUUGAUGAAGAAGUUAUUUGAACACUAGGUUCUCACAUAUUGCAUUAUUUCCUCUCUUGCUUGAUAAACACAGCUCUACUAUUUGUUAAACAUGCCAGUAUCCCCCUUAUGUUUUAUUGAUACCUAAAACCUUCAAUAUACCUACUGGUCCCUCCAAGAAUGGGCAUCGAAGAAAGCACAUACCUCACUCUGCACAUCUGCCUUCUGUAGUGAAGUCUCCAGUUACUGCUUUAUUAAUGUUCAAGAAUAUGUGUGCCUUUUUACAAGAGGAGAGCUAAGGGUGUCACAGGUAUUGGUCCUAAAAUUUUAUCCUCCAGAUUCUUUUACCCAUUAUUUUUCUUUUAAAGAUGAGUGUCGUGUUUCUGAAGGCUUUAUUUCCCAUAAAUGAGGAAUUUACUUACUCAGUUAACUUAUUCCCUGCCAGGGAAUAUUUUGAAUUUACAUUUGAUAGACAAUACCGUCAAACUUCUAGUCCUUUUUCACAUUCUCACUUUCCUUAUUAUAGUGAUCAGCAAAGACUCUUUUAUCAUGGACUCUUUGUCAGCUCUUUUUGAAUUUCUUGGAAACAUGUCCAGUAGUUAAAUUGUUUUCUUCCAUCUUUUCCAAGGGAUCAUUUUCAUUGAUAUAGUAGCCUUAGGCAGUUCGUUAUUUGUAUGUACAAGAUAAACCAGUUUUCAUUUUGCAUUUCUUCUCUUAUUCUCUUUUGUUACGUGAUCAUUAUACUAUCACCUCUUGAAUCAUAGCAUGGUGGAUAACUCAUGUCCUACGUACAGUGACUUUUAUUUUUAGGUUUAUUCCUUCCUUCCAAAAACAAUACGGAACAUUAGUCUUGUUAGAGAUGCAUUAUGGGAACUGUGAGCAUCAGAACAGUUCUCCAAAUAUUUAAUGGCAGUAAUUUAGAAAAAUCUCUGGCUAAAAGUAAGAUCUUCACUAAGAGCAGAGAAUUUUAUUAAAAAAUAACAGUAUUCUAGUUAGCAUUUGACUGUGUGGCUCCAGUUCUAUUGUUCCAGAAGUCAGAACUGUUAGCCACAACAGACAGGUUUACUUGUCUGCUGCUCUGACAUAAUUUUCUUGCUUCAGGCUUCAUUCAGCAGGAGCCCCUUUCCCAAAGAGAAUUGUAGGGGUCUUUUUUUUUUUUUUUCCCCUAUUAUUCUUUUCUGUCCACUAGGUGGCACUCACCCGGUUGGAUCUUUAUUAGUGAAUCUAUAGCUUCUGCAGCUUUAACCUUUAGCAGCAAGAUUUUGUGAGAGCUCAACCUGCUCUACCUUGUUCAGUGAGUCUGUUGGCAGAAAGAUGUCUGUUUCAUCAGUUCCUUAUUCCACUCAAGUGUGUCAAGUGAACAUUUGUUGGGAUUCUUACCUUUUAAUUACUUAGCUUCUCUUGGGUUUUGAGUAGGGUCAGACUACUAG